AGUGAACGCUGGCGGUAGGCCUAACACAUGCAAGUCGAACGGCAGCACAGUAAGAGCUUGCUCUUACGGGUGGCGAGUGGCGGACGGGUGAGGAAUACAUCGGAAUCUACUUUUUCGUGGGGGAUAGCGUAGGGAAACUUACGCUAAUACCGCAUACGACCUACGGGUGAAAGCAGGGGAUCUUCGGACCUUGCGCGAUUGAAUGAGCCGAUGUCGGAUUAGCUAGUUGGCGGGGUAAAGGCCCACCAAGGCGACGAUCCGUAGCUGGUCUGAGAGGAUGAUCAGCCACACUGGAACUGAGACACGGUCCAGACUCCUACGGGAGGCAGCAGUGGGGAAUAUUGGACAAUGGGCGCAAGCCUGAUCCAGCCAUACCGCGUGGGUGAAGAAGGCCUUCGGGUUGUAAAGCCCUGUUGUUAGGAAAGAAAAGCAGCAGGUUAAUACCCCGCUGUUCUGACGGUACCCAAAGAAUAAGCACCGGCUAACUUCGUG
rnacentral:rRNA from 1 species